UACGGAGGGUGCAAACGUUGCUCGGAAUCAUUGGGCGUAAAGCGCACGUAGGCGGCCUAUCAAGUCGGGUGUGAAAGCCCUGGGCUCAACCCAGGAAGUGCACUCGAAACUGAAGGGCUUGAAUAUGGAAGAGGGUCGCGGAAUUCCCGGUGUAGAGGUGAAAUUCGUAGAUAUCGGGAGGAACACCAGUGGCGAAGGCGGCGACCUGGACGGACACUGACGCUGAGACGCGAAAGCGUGGGGAGCAAAGCAGG
rnacentral:rRNA from 1 species